CACGGCAAACGCCGCUGUUACUAGCGUUGCCAACUGCAGGCGGUUUCUAUGCGCUUACAAAUUUUCACCACCUCGUCAUGACACGGAUUCGACCGCGGUGUUAUAUUAUGCUUUGAGGAUUGUGGUAUAUUUUUCGAGGCCAUAUGGAACGAUUUUACUUUUCGAUACCUAGCUGCUUACCAACCAGCGCGAUAUUGCAGGUCCAAUUUUUGCGUCCGGCUAAAGAACGGAGCGGAAUUAAUUAUUCUUAAUAUUGGCGCAAGCGUUUUUUCUCUCUUUGGUACAUAAUUUCAAAUGCGACCUGGAGCUAAAUCACCAGCUUUGGAAACUUUUUGAAGCAGUGUAAACAAGGGCCGUAAAUAUACCAGAGUUCAAUGCCUAAAUAUCCCGGAACAUGAAAACGUCGAGAUGUAGGCAAUCCGUGUCAAGAUUACGUUGACUCGGUUGCUUAUGCGUAGGUACUAUAGCAAAUCAACAAAAAAAUAGAAUGGAUAGAAUGGAUGCACUUUUUAAAUUUCUUCACAGGGUUUGAGUUUUCAUAUCAUUCUAGAUGUGCGUAGAACUCCAUUUAUGCCAAACCCUUCGAGGCUACGCAACUGGUGUUGCAAGCAUUGAGAAAUUAACGCAUGAACGCCUACAGAUAGGCAAUGAAAGUAACAAGAUAGCUACGUAAAUGCAACACACAAAUUGCACGUAAAAAGAAUAUUAAUUACUGAUUUCAGAGCGGCUCUAAAAGUUGAAAUUACCUAUCUGUCAGACUAGAAACUUUAACUACUUACAGGUUGUGUUUGAUAUAACUAUUAUUCGCGUGUUUUCAUCCCUAACGAGUGACUUGUAACCAAUUUUACUCACGUUUUGAAGAGCCUUGUCCUUCUCUUCCAGCUUGGCGUUGACCUGCAUAAGCGCUUCCUGGGUCUGGUCAAGUUCAUUCUCGAUGGUCUGGAUCUUCUUCUGCAGGGAACGAGCCUCCUCUUCCGCCUGUUUUCGUAAAGAUCGAAUUUACAUUGUGUUAUUGAAUAUGUCACAUCAUUUUCUAUAGUAGCAAUAAAUCAGUGGAGAGAAAAAUUGGGAAGCAAAAUUUAGAUUUUCCAUUUGCUCGACAGAUAGUUCGAAAACAAUUUCGUCUUGAAAGUGACAAAAUCCAUUGCCACCAUCACAAUUAUAGCUGUAAGAAAAUAAAAAAAUUGAACAUGGUUGUGAAAAAUUUAAGCUUGCAUAAGAUCAUUACUGCAGUCAGUGGAUGUAAUCGUUGGGCAAACCGAUACAAUUCAGUGUCGUUUUCGCACGAAGGAUGAAAAUAAAACGCACGUGCUUGAGACGGCUGUCAAAUUUGAAAAAUUUGUGCCACCCACCUUUUCGGCACGCGCGUUCGCAUCGCGAGCCUGCUGUUCGCAGAGCAACGCGCGAUCCAUCGCGUUGUCCUUCUCCAGCUUCAUUCCCUGCAUCUUCUUCUUGAUCGCGUCCAUGGUAGCGACUUUUUUAAUUUACCU